UACGGGGGGGUAAGCGUUGUUCGGAAUUACUGGGCGUAAAGGGCUCGUAGGCGGCCAACUAAGUCAGACGUGAAAUCCCUCAGCCUAACUGGGGAACUGCGUCUGAUACUGGAUGGCUUGGAUUCGGGAGAGGAAUGCGGAAUUCCGAGGUGUAGCGGUGAAAUGCGUAGAUAUCGGGAGGAACACCAGAGGCGAAGGCGGCGAUCUGGACUGAUACUGACGCUGAGGUGCGAAAGCGUGGGGAGCAAACAGG
rnacentral:rRNA from 1 species